rnacentral:pre_miRNA from 1 species
AGGAGAAACAAUCACAGUGGUGGCGGCCAGCUUUGGAGCCCUGGAUUCAGCUCCUGCAGUAACUAAGGAGCUCUUGGUCUGCAAGGGCCUGGAUGCUCUGAGGGCGG